AGAGUUUGAUCAUGGCUCAGAUUGAACGCUGGCGGCAGGCCUAACACAUGCAAGUCGAACGGUAGCACAGAGAGCUUGCUCUCGGGUGACGAGUGGCGGACGGGUGAGUAAUGUCUGGGAAACUGCCUGAUGGAGGGGGAUAACUACUGGAAACGGUAGCUAAUACCGCAUAACGUCGCAAGACCAAAGAGGGGGACCUUCGGGCCUCUUGCCAUCAGAUGUGCCCAGAUGGGAUUAGCUAGUAGGUGGGGUAACGGCUCACCUAGGCGACGAUCCCUAGCUGGUCUGAGAGGAUGACCAGCCACACUGGAACUGAGACACGGUCCAGACUCCUACGGGAGGCAGCAGUGGGGAAUAUUGCACAAUGGGCGCAAGCCUGAUGCAGCCAUGCCGCGUGUAUGAAGAAGGCCUUCGGGUUGUAAAGUACUUUCAGCGGGGAGGAAGGGAGUAAGGUUAAUAACCUUGCUCAUUGACGUUACCCGCAGAAGAAGCACCGGCUAACUCCGUGCCAGCAGCCGCGGUAAUACGGAGGGUGCAAGCGUUAAUCGGAAUUACUGGGCGUAAAGCGCACGCAGGCGGUCUGUCAAGUCGGAUGUGAAAUCCCCGGGCUCAACCUGGGAACUGCAUCCGAAACUGGCAGGCUUGAGUCUCGUAGAGGGAGGUAGAAUUCCAGGUGUAGCGGUGAAAUGCGUAGAGAUCUGGAGGAAUACCGGUGGCGAAGGCGGCCUCCUGGACGAAGACUGACGCUCAGGUGCGAAAGCGUGGGGAGCAAACAGGAUUAGAUACCCUGGUAGUCCACGCCGUAAACGAUGUCUAUUUGGAGGUUGUGCCCUUGAGGCGUGGCUUCCGGAGCUAACGCGUUAAAUAGACCGCCUGGGGAGUACGGCCGCAAGGUUAAAACUCAAAUGAAUUGACGGGGGCCCGCACAAGCGGUGGAGCAUGUGGUUUAAUUCGAUGCAACGCGAAGAACCUUACCUGGUCUUGACAUCCACAGAACUUUCCAGAGAUGGAUUGGUGCCUUCGGGAACUGUGAGACAGGUGCUGCAUGGCUGUCGUCAGCUCGUGUUGUGAAAUGUUGGGUUAAGUCCCGCAACGAGCGCAACCCUUAUCCUUUGUUGCCAGCGGUUAGGCCGGGAACUCAAAGGAGACUGCCAGUGAUAAACUGGAGGAAGGGUGGGGAUGAC
rnacentral:rRNA from 1 species